UGGGUCGCAGUUGCACAUUUAUUUUAUAAAAACAAAUAGGCUAUGUCUGCCUGCGAAUUCGUAGUUUUUUUGCAAUAUGGCCUGUGCGCUGAUUGAGUUUGUCACCCCUGGGCUAGCGUAUCUAUUUAUGUAACUAGUUCUUUAUUUAGCAAGCUAUAAACACAUUACUUAUCGUUAGCUAGCUAGCUGCUGGGAGGAUGUCAUGUCAUUCGAGUAGUGGGUGAGUGACCGACUUUUCCUCCUCAUAUUGUUUUUCAUUGGCUACAGCUAUAGAUGCUGCAGGUGUUAUUGUUUAGAUAGAAAAAAUGUGAAUCGCUUUGCUAGCUAGCUAUGAUGAUCUUGAGCGACUGUUAUCCACAGUUAGCAAAUCUCUUAGUUAUCAAUCAAAUGUAUUUGGCAUCGAUCAAAUGGGCAGGCAGACAGGCAAGAUCCAAUUCAGUUGUCAAAAAGAACCAGACCAGAACCAGGAACCAUUCAUCACCACAACAGAAGAGUUGCGGAGGAAGGACCAAAGAUCUAGACCUAUGCCCGGAGCGAACAGGCCACAGGGGAGUAUCAUCACUGACCUCUGGCUCCUGGGCUUCCAAGUGUGUCAGCUCACUCCUCAAGUUGUCCUUUCUCCCCUCUGCAGAUCCAAAACAAGUUCCAGAACCAGUCCCCAUACCAGAACACCGGAAGAGGCACGGAGGAGGGACCAACCAUCAGACCACCCGGAGCAAGCAGGCCACAAGGGAGUGCCAUCACUGUCCUCUGUGGGCUUCCUUGUGUGUCUACUUGCUCCCCAGAUUGUCCUUCCUCCCCUCUACAAAUCCAGAUCCCGACCCUUUACUUGCACCAGUUCCCGGUUCCUAGUUUCCCGGUUCCUGUUUCCCGGGCCCUGUCCCAUCACCAAUAGAUGGUUUCCAGUCCCAGCCCCAGCACCAGCACCAACCCCUUCGCCAACACUGGACACAGCCGUGGCCAUCACAACUUUCUGAAAUAAACGUUAAAAAACAAAAGAGAUGGAAAUUGAUUUCAGAAGGAACAAAACUCCACUACCUCCUACGAAGAUCAAUGGGGAAUCAGUCAAUAGAGUGACCACAUAUAAAUACCUGGGAUUCGAAAUAGACAAUAAACUGAAAUUCAAUGAUCGUGCCUUUGCAUAGAUAAAGAAAUUGCAACAGUGAAUUUUUUUAUACGCAAAGUGAACCAUUUUAACGUUGACCGCAAUAUCUUACAAAUGUUCUAUUGAUCUGUCCUGCAGAGUGUACUGUCCUUUGGUCUGUGUGUUUGGAAACAUGCGAGUGCAAGACCAAGUCAAACUUCAGAGCUUUAAUAAGAUGGCGGGAGGGAUAAUUGGUAUAGAUCAAGAAUCAGCCAGCAGUCUGUACACAAAACUCAUCCUCUUAAAUCUUGAAUGCAUUUUACAGGACAGUACUCAUCCCCUUCACUCAAAAUCCAGUCACAGCAGCAGCAGGACAAGGGGAAAGAGUUCUUUAAAAAAAAAUUCUAACUGAUAGAUAUGGGGACUCUUUUAUUCCAACAGCCAUUAGGCUGUUUAAUAGAUAGUCUGUUGGUCCCUCGAGUAUACCGCAUAUUGCACUUUCACUUUAAAUGUGUAGCUAUAACACUUUGAAGGAAUUCUGUUGUGUAGUUUCUAUGUUUUCAUGAUAUCUCUACCAUCUUUUUAAGCACAUUACCAAAUUAAUUUCCCCUGGUGGGACAAUAAAGUUGAUCUGAAUCUGAAAAGCCACCUCACCCAGCCGCUGCUAGCCCAGACCCCACCCCUUCCUCUCCCCCAACACAAGGACACAGACAGACAGUCUACCGCUCUAGUAGACCAACCAUCAACCACACAACUCAAAACAGGCAAGUUCCCCUCCC
rnacentral:lncRNA from 1 species